GUGCAGUCCUCCUGAGCACCCCUGUAGUGGCAUUUUCACACCACGCUGUCAUUCGUUGUCUCUCCUUCUGUCCUUUCUGCUAGGAGUAGAUCUCUCCUGCAGCUGCCUGGCUGGAUGACAGGUGGAUGAAUGGUUUCAGGAUCUUUUGUCCUGGAAUAGCAGGCAUCCUUCAAAACCCUGAUGGGCAGGAUUCAAGGAGCUGCGAGGAAUCCAUGGUGGUUCACCGUCAAUAAUUUUGCAGAUGAAGAAUAUGCCUUUUGCAUGGAGUAUGGCAAGACUUGUUCCAAGUAUUUUCUAGUUGGUACAGAAGUCGGGGAGAGUGGCACCCUCCAUCUGCUGGGAUAGGCGUGAGACGCUGAGUGCUCUCAAGAAGAUAUCUGGCUUUCGCAGCACUCACUGUGAGCCUGCACACAGGACUGACGAGGACAUUUAAAGGUUUUGUUCUAAGGAUGGAGUAUUGGAAGAAUGUGGUGCACCUCGUAAUCCUGGGAAGAGGACAGAUCUGGAGUCCACUGUGGGGUUGCUCCGUGAGAGUGGUGGUGAUCUACAGCGUCCAGCUAACGAGAUGCCUGUCCUUUAUUAAGUUGUGGGUGUGGUUUCUGUGACUUUGUCCUAAUGGCUGGGCUUUCCAAGGAGUAGGAUUUUUUUUACAUUGUUGUAAUAGUUAGUCCCCUGAGAGUGGGCAAGUCCUNGUCCCGUUCUGCUGCUGAGAAGUGUGUCUCUAGCGGUUGGAGUCUGUAUCACAGGCCUAUAGGUCAAGGGUGGGGGGGUUCCAGUGGUCAGCAGGCUGUUGUUCUUGAUGAGUUUUAUGGGUAACUUUCAUAUGAUGAGAUAUUAGAUCUUAUUAAUAGGUAUCCUCAUUAAGUGCCCAUAAAGAGUGUUUUUCUGAAUUUAAUAAUAGAUACAUUUUUAUUACUUCUAAUACCCCUCCUUGUACUUGGUAUUCCAAUGAGCAGUGCAUUACAAUGUUGCCUGCAUUUUAUCCGUGUAUUGAUGAAGCUUUGGGUAUGGAAAAUGUUGAGAAUGUUUCCACAAAUGUACACUGGCACAUCCAAAUAAUUAUUAAUAAAAUUUUAUUUUUGACAACAAA